GUUAUCCGGAUUUAUUGGGCGUAAAGCGUUUCGUARARWRRUUAAGAAAGUUGUACUUCAAAGACRUAGGGCUCAACCUUAGAAAGGGGUGCAAUACUACUUAACUUGAAAUAUUUCGGGGUUUUCGGAACUGUCGGUGUAGGAGUGAAAUCCGUUGAUAUCGACAGGAACACCAAGGGCGAAGGCAGAAAACUAGGAAUUUUUUGACACUGAGGAACGACAGCUAGGGGAGCGAAAGGGAUUAGAGACCCCUGUAGUCCUAGCCGUAAACUAUGCUCGCUAGUCGUCAUGAUUUAUCAUGGUGACGUAAGCUAACGCGUGAAGCGAGCCKCCUGGGGAGUACGGCCGCAAGGCUA
rnacentral:rRNA from 1 species